rnacentral:rRNA from 1 species
AUACGUAGGGGGCGAGCGUUGUCUGGAAUGAUUGGGCGUAAAGGGCGCGUAGGCGGCGCGGUAAGUCUGGAGUGAAAGUCCUGCUUUCAAGGUGGGAAUUGCUUUGGAUACUGCCGCGCUUGAGUGCAGGAGAGGUUAUCGGAAUUCCCGGUGUAGCGGUGAAAUGCGUAGAGAUCGGGAGGAACACCAGUGGCGAAGGCGGGUAACUGGACUGCAACUGACGCUGAGGCGCGAAGUGUGGGGAGCAAACAGGAUUAGAUACCCUGGUAGUCCACACGGUAAACGAUGAAUGCUAGGUGUAAGAGGUAUCGACCCCUUUUGUGCCGGAGUCAACACAAUAAGUAUUCCGCCUGGGGAGUACGGCCGCAAGGUUGAAACUCAAAGGAAUUGACGGGG